rnacentral:tRNA from 2 species
GGGCGAUUAGCUCAGCGGUAGAGCAUUGCCUUCACACGGCAAGGGUCGCAGGUUCGAACCCUGCAUCGCCCACCA